UUUAUGGAGAGUUUGAUCCUGGCUCAGGAUGAACGCUGGCGGCGUGCCUAAUACAUGCAAGUCGAGCGAACGGACGAGAAGCUUGCUUCUCUGAUGUUAGCGGCGGACGGGUGAGUAACACGUGGAUAACCUACCUAUAAGACUGGGAUAACUUCGGGAAACCGGAGCUAAUACCGGAUAAUAUUUUGAACCGCAUGGUUCAAAAGUGAAAGACGGUCUUGCUGUCACUUAUAGAUGGAUCCGCGCUGCAUUAGCUAGUUGGUAAGGUAACGGCUUACCAAGGCAACGAUGCAUAGCCGACCUGAGAGGGUGAUCGGCCACACUGGAACUGAGACACGGUCCAGACUCCUACGGGAGGCAGCAGUAGGGAAUCUUCCGCAAUGGGCGAAAGCCUGACGGAGCAACGCCGCGUGAGUGAUGAAGGUCUUCGGAUCGUAAAACUCUGUUAUUAGGGAAGAACAUAUGUGUAAGUAACUGUGCACAUCUUGACGGUACCUAAUCAGAAAGCCACGGCUAACUACGUGCCAGCAGCCGCGGUAAUACGUAGGUGGCAAGCGUUAUCCGGAAUUAUUGGGCGUAAAGCGCGCGUAGGCGGUUUUUUAAGUCUGAUGUGAAAGCCCACGGCUCAACCGUGGAGGGUCAUUGGAAACUGGAAAACUUGAGUGCAGAAGAGGAAAGUGGAAUUCCAUGUGUAGCGGUGAAAUGCGCAGAGAUAUGGAGGAACACCAGUGGCGAAGGCGACUUUCUGGUCUGUAACUGACGCUGAUGUGCGAAAGCGUGGGGAUCAAACAGGAUUAGAUACCCUGGUAGUCCACGCUGUAAACGAUGAGUGCUAAGUGUUAGGGGGUUUCCGCCCCUUAGUGCUGCAGCUAACGCAUUAAGCACUCCGCCUGGGGAGUACGACCGCAAGGUUGAAACUCAAAGGAAUUGACGGGGACCCGCACAAGCGGUGGAGCAUGUGGUUUAAUUCGAAGCAACGCGAAGAACCUUACCAAAUCUUGACAUCCUUUGACAACUCUAGAGAUAGAGCCUUCCCCUUCGGGGGGCAAAGUGACAGGUGGUGCAUGGUUGUCGUCAGCUCGUGUCGUGAGAUGUUGGGUUAAGUCCCGCAACGAGCGCAACCCUUAAGCUUAGUUGCCAUCAUUAAGUUGGGCACUCUAAGUUGACUGCCGGUGACAAACCGGAGGAAGGUGGGGAUGACGUCAAAUCAUCAUGCCCCUUAUGAUUUGGGCUACACACGUGCUACAAUGGACAAUACAAAGGGCAGCGAAACCGCGAGGUCAAGCAAAUCCCAUAAAGUUGUUCUCAGUUCGGAUUGUAGUCUGCAACUCGACUACAUGAAGCUGGAAUCGCUAGUAAUCGUAGAUCAGCAUGCUACGGUGAAUACGUUCCCGGGUCUUGUACACACCGCCCGUCACACCACGAGAGUUUGUAACACCCGAAGCCGGUGGAGUAACCUUUUAGGAGCUAGCCGUCGAAGGUGGGACAAAUGAUUGGGGUGAAGUCGUAACAAGGUAGCCGUAUCGGAAGGUGCGGCUGGAUCACCUCCUUU
rnacentral:rRNA from 1 species